rnacentral:lncRNA from 1 species
UAGCAAAAAUAAAAUGAAAGGGGACUGUUUCUAAAAGAGUCAAAUUAGGGACCAAUAGAGUCUUCCUAACUAAGACGUUGACCACCUGUAUGCAAGAUCUAAGAACCCAACUAAUAAUAAAACUAUAAAAUUGAUGUGGAACCAAAGAUCAACCAAUGUGAUCAAGAACUCACACAAUUUUAUUCAAGGCACCAAAAAAAUUUGAUCAUAUGAAAACCCUCCCUACUUAACUCUCUAUCAAGAAUGAUAGAAAUUAGCAUUAUUGAGAAAAGGAGAAUUAAAAUAAGAAUGAAAAAAUACCACAAGAAAUUAUCUUGAUAAAUAGAUAUAUUCAUUGCUCAACAAGAAGGAUGAAGACACAUCUCU